UGACAGUAUAAAUAUGCAAUGAGUGUUAAUUAUUCAAUGCAUUACCGCAAGGCACUCAAGCACUAUGAUGAUAAGUAUAGUGUAAGAGUACAUAUGAAAAAUAGUAUAGCAACUCACAUUGCAAAGAGUCUGACAAAGCUGAAAUAAAUCGAAAUCUGAAGGAGCGUGCAAACACUGAUAUCUUUACUAGAAAAAUGUUAUUUGACUGAUCUGGAAAAACUAAGGCACGCACUACAAAGUACAAUACAAGAAUAAAAACCUUGAAAGUCCUACAGUCAGAAGAAAUGGGGGAAGAUGGGAAAUACUGUCUGAAGGUCAACAGUACAAACCUAUGGAAGAAAAGUGUGAGGAUUUCAGUGAAAAUUAUGGUAUUUUGUGCCUGAGGCGUGCAAAGCAGUGUGGAUGGCUCUCAGAAACCAAACAUAAAACACUUCAGCUGCAAAGGGAAAUGUUUCAGAAAGUUGUGAGAACACGGGGCUAUCCUGGAAGUUGUUCAGUGACCUUCACAACGGCGGAAACAAGUAACAGCUGCUGCAAUUAAGGAGUCCAGUGGAAGCAAAAUGACAAAAAUCAAACUGUCUGUCUCUGCUGGGGACUGACCCACACCUAUCAAACAACAGUCAGUACUCUUCAGUACUUUCCGCUAGGGAAACAUUAGGUCUCUGGAUCUAUCAACAAC
ensembl:lncRNA